AUGGCAAUAUUCAAGAAGAACACAAGUGCCCAGUGCUUGUUGGCUCUUGUGCUCAUCGCUACUGUCAUUUCGUCUUGUUAUGCGUUUGGUCCAGUGCCAUCCAGUGUCGUGCACUACAUUAUCCGCCCUCCUCCAUCUUCAUCCACGUCAGUGCACUAUGCUCCACCCCCGGAGGACGAAUGCUUUCCCGCUGCUGCUGACUUCGAGUUCGCCUCACGCCAUGGCCGCGAUGGCGCUGAUGCCCCUACCAUGAUCUCCGGCACAGAGCUAUUUCGCUCCGGUGGCAUCUGCGUUGGCUACCUCUCCCCAUCCGCCAAGAAACGGCUCACGAGGAGUUGGGAGGCCUCGACCACCAUGUGCGGCGGCAUCACUUGGUCAUUUUGGCUCCGAGGGGGAAGUGGCCGGCUGGGCAUUGCGGCUCAUAGGUGGAAGCGGAGGUCUAUAGACAAAAGCAAAAAGAAAAACAGAAAAAAGGAGGUUGUGCCACCCGUGCUCCUGGGCCGGCUCAUCCCCUUCAAGGAGGGUUCCUACUUUGUCGCUGAAAGGGAGCAGAGCUCGUAUACAGCGCUGCAGGCGCCCAUUUAA
rnacentral:rRNA from 1 species